AUUGAAGAGUUUGAUCAUGGCUCAGAUUGAACGCUGGCGGCAGGCCUAACACAUGCAAGUCGAGCGGUAGCACAGAGAGCUUGCUCUCGGGUGACGAGCGGCGGACGGGUGAGUAAUGUCUGGGAAACUGCCUGAUGGAGGGGGAUAACUACUGGAAACGGUAGCUAAUACCGCAUAACGUCGCAAGACCAAAGUGGGGGACCUUCGGGCCUCAUGCCAUCAGAUGUGCCCAGAUGGGAUUAGCUAGUAGGUGGGGUAACGGCUCACCUAGGCGACGAUCCCUAGCUGGUCUGAGAGGAUGACCAGCCACACUGGAACUGAGACACGGUCCAGACUCCUACGGGAGGCAGCAGUGGGGAAUAUUGCACAAUGGGCGCAAGCCUGAUGCAGCCAUGCCGCGUGUGUGAAGAAGGCCUUCGGGUUGUAAAGCACUUUCAGCGGGGAGGAAGGCGGUAAGGUUAAUAACCUCAUCGAUUGACGUUACCCGCAGAAGAAGCACCGGCUAACUCCGUGCCAGCAGCCGCGGUAAUACGGAGGGUGCAAGCGUUAAUCGGAAUUACUGGGCGUAAAGCGCACGCAGGCGGUCUGUCAAGUCGGAUGUGAAAUCCCCGGGCUCAACCUGGGAACUGCAUUCGAAACUGGCAGGCUAGAGUCUUGUAGAGGGGGGUAGAAUUCCAGGUGUAGCGGUGAAAUGCGUAGAGAUCUGGAGGAAUACCGGUGGCGAAGGCGGCCCCCUGGACAAAGACUGACGCUCAGGUGCGAAAGCGUGGGGAGCAAACAGGAUUAGAUACCCUGGUAGUCCACGCCGUAAACGAUGUCGAUUUGGAGGUUGUGCCCUUGAGGCGUGGCUUCCGGAGCUAACGCGUUAAAUCGACCGCCUGGGGAGUACGGCCGCAAGGUUAAAACUCAAAUGAAUUGACGGGGGCCCGCACAAGCGGUGGAGCAUGUGGUUUAAUUCGAUGCAACGCGAAGAACCUUACCUGGUCUUGACAUCCACAGAACUUUCCAGAGAUGGAUUGGUGCCUUCGGGAACUGUGAGACAGGUGCUGCAUGGCUGUCGUCAGCUCGUGUUGUGAAAUGUUGGGUUAAGUCCCGCAACGAGCGCAACCCUUAUCCUUUGUUGCCAGCGGUU
rnacentral:rRNA from 1 species